rnacentral:rRNA from 1 species
AGUGAACGCUGGCGGUAGGCCUAACACAUGCAAGUCGAACGGCAGCACAGUAAGAGCUUGCUCUUACGGGUGGCGAGUGGCGGACGGGUGAGGAAUACAUCGGAAUCUACUUUUUCGUGGGGGAUAACGUAGGGAAACUUACGCUAAUACCUCAUACGACCUACGGGUGAAAGCAGGGGAUCUUCGGACCUUGCGCGAUUCAAUGAGCCGAUGUCGGAUUAGCUAGUUGGCGGGGUAAAGGCCCACCAAGGCGACGAUCCGUAGCUGGUCUGAGAGGAGGAUCAGCCACACUGGAACUGAGACACGGUCCAGACUCCUACGGGAGGCAGCAGUGGGGAAUAUUGGACAAUGGGCGCAAGCCUGAUCCAGCCAUACCGCGUGGGUGAAGAAGGCCUUCGGGUUGUAAAGCCCUUUUGUUGGGAAAGAAAAGCAGCAGGUUAAUACCCCGCUGUUCUGACGGUACCCAAAGAAUAAGCACCGGCUAACUUCGUG